GGCACUAUAGCCAAGUGGUUACGGCGACAGAUUCGAACGAAAGCAUCUGUUCCUCUUUGAGGGCGCAGGUUCAAAUCCUGCUGGUGUCG